rnacentral:ncRNA from 2 species
UAUAUUUGCUUCAGAUUUGGUUCUCCGCUCCCCGUCGCGGGAGGGUGUGAAAAGGGAAUCGGGUGCAAAUCCCGGACAGUCCCGCUGCUGUGAAGCCCCGUGACGUUCCGAAUAUCUCAGCCACUGCCCCGCGGGGCGGGAAGGCUUCGGGACAGGGGUCAGUCAGAAGACCUGCCAGAUCGAUUCGUUGUCG